CGCUCGCCUCGGGAUGCGGGGGGGGCGAUGCUGCCGGAGCCGGGGCAGCUGCGGCCUCAGCGGCCGGGCGGGGGAACCGCGCGCUUCUGCUGCUGCUCCUCCUCUUCCUGCUCCUCCGCCUCCUGCUCCUCCUCUUCCUCUUCCUCCUCCUGCUCCUCCCUCCUCUUCCUCCCGCGGCUCCUCCGCUCCCGCCCCGGCCCGGGCACGUUCCCACACCCCAAAGCAGCCGCGCUGGGCCCGGGGCGGCUCCCAAAGCGGCCCCGCCCCGCGCGGCACUGGGAGCGCUACUGGGAGCACUGGGAGCGGCACCGGCAGCACCGGGAAGGAAUUGGCAGCACGAUCCCUCCCAGUGCGGCUCUUCCUGGGAGCGCUGGGAGGGAACUGGGAGGAAACGGGGAGCCGGGGCGGCCGCAGCCGGUGCUGGGCGUGGCCACCGGGAGGGCGGGGUUAUGCAAAUCCGGGCGCGAUCGCGCGCGGUGAUUGGUGGGCGCCGGUGGGCGGGGCCGGGGCGAUGGCGGCGGCGUCCGGUUUGGGUGUUUGGAAAGGACAAAGAGAAACGAAAAGAAAGUCAAGGCCACGGGGAGCCAGAAGAGGCGGAGCCCCCCAGCCUGGUGCCUUCCUGUUGGAGAGGAUGAAAAUUUGGUAAGAACGUGGCACAGGUUCGUCGGCUUGGCAGAAAGAUCUCUGAAUGUACAAACUGGGGAUGAGACAGAACCGAAAGCAAGUUUUGAUAUAGAGCAGAAGAUGUUCUGCUGAACCAGUGAUCACUGAAUAACGGAGACGGCAGAGGUCGGAGAUGAGUGCGAAGGAGAUUUUUAUGAUUACGACAAAGGUGUGGGACUACAAACAAAGACGUGUUCUUCACCACCUAAAUGAGUCUCAGGAAGAACAAAAGUAAAUAGAAAACAGGUUUUUACCAAAAAGAGAGAUAUGGCAGGCAAACGAGAAAUGUCCAUGUGGCAGGUAGAAGAAAGGUCUGAGAAUUUUGCACUGGACGCUUAAGUUGUAACUUACUCUUGGGAUUGAAUAAUAAUGACUAAAACAUGAUAAUGGGAGUAGCUGUGAUAGGCUGUGGGCAGAUGUAAAGGUGCUGUGUAUGGUGCUUAGUGGUUCUCAUGGAUUGAGAUACUCAGCAAAGAAAAGUAAAUAAUGCUUUGUAACUUGAACAGAAAGCGGCUUCAGGGGUGCCCAGAGCUGUAGGUGACAGCUGCAGGGCUGGCUCUGGCCACCCACUCCCUGAGCUGCUGCAACUUUGGCUGUGCAAUAAACAGCUUUCAAGAGAGCCGCCCGACGUGCAGGCAUCCUUCGUGAGCACUUCUCCUGUAUCUUCCCAACACGGAUCAGCGGCACCACGGAUCUCCGGGGCUCUGCCCAAUGGGGGUCACUGGGGAUCAUCCAACGCCGAUCCUCCCACGGGGGAUGGGGCUGGAGCAGCGCACGAAGCUCUUCCCGCGCUCGGGGCACUCGCGG